GGACUUUAAAGAUCAGCCAGUUUCAACCCCUCUGCAUUGGAUAGGGACACUUUUGACUUGAUCAGCUUGCUCAGAGCGCCAUCCAGCCUUGUUUUGAAUACUCUCAGGGGUUCCCUUAAGGUGCUGGAAGUCUGCAAUUAGGCCACCCUAAAGCCUUCUCUAAUAUAUGUCGUCCUCUGCCGCUAGCUGAAUCUUUCCCAAAGUCACAUAAACAUGAGCUUCCUGUGCCCCAGUUUCUGCCUGCUGCCUCUUGUCCUGCUGACUGGCAUCACCGAGCAGAUCCUGGCUCCAUCCUUUUGACACCCUCCCUUCAGAUGGCUUAAGAAAAGAGAAGAUUUCAUGCUGUACAGGAAUGUUUCUGAAGUCAUUUCAGCAAUAAUGAACCUUUUGUGAUUUUUGGAAGAAUAUUUAACCCUUAAAGUACACUGACUCAUUCCUGUGGCCAUAGAAUUCUCCUUAUGUGCAACUCCAAGAAAGUCAUUACAUUCUGAGCUACUGGCAGACAGCAGUGUGAGUGUGGCAAUUCCAAGUUCUACAGCAGUUUGGUGCAAAAAAAUGCAUCCAUAACAUAGGAGGUAUGAACACAGGUGCUGGAAUAAAGGAUCUAGUACUGUUCCCAGGGUCCAGUGCAUCAGAAGAUACAUUUCAGCGCUGCCUAGGGCUAGUAGUCUCACUGUGAAAACCCCUCAAGACCUCUCCAGCACCACUGUUUUGAUGACAUUCUACUUAAUGAAAGAAAAUAAUUGGGGGAAGUUUUUUUCUUGCUCUAACUGUACUUGAAUCCUGACCAGGAACUCAUUGCUGUACACAAGAAGCAAGCAGUACCAUGACCAUAGCAAGGCAUGAAUGACAGGAAUGAAUUGCAGAAUGGGGACGGAAAGAGGGAAGGAGGGAGACAACCCUUGCUGCUUCUAAUCUUGAGACAGUACUAUAGUUAUAGUAUACAAGCUGGAAUCUUGGCAUGACCAUUCUGGGCAAUGUACACCACCUCUGUAUACGACUG